GAUGAACGCUGGCGGCGUGCCUAAUACAUGCAAGUCGAGCGAACGGACGAGAAGCUUGCUUCUCUGAUGUUAGCGGCGGACGGGUGAGUAACACGUGGAUACCCUACCUAUAAGACUGGGAUAACUUCGGGAAACCGGAGCUAAUACCGGAUAAUAUUUUGAACCGCAUGGUUCAAAAGUGAAAGACGGUCUUGCUGUCACUUAUAGAUGGAUCCGCGCUGCAUUAGCUAGUUGGUAAGGUAACGGCUUACCAAGGCAACGAUGCGUAGCCGACCUGAGAGGGUGAUCGGCCACACUGGAACUGAGACACGGUCCAGACUCCUACGGGAGGCAGCAGUAGGGAAUCUUCCGCAAUGGGCGAAAGCCUGACGGAGCAACGCCGCGUGAGUGAUGAAGGUCUUCGGAUCGUAAAACUCUGUUAUUAGGGAAGAACAUAUGUGUAAGUAACUGUGCACAUCUUGACGGUACCUAAUCAGAAGGCAACGGCUAACUACGUG
rnacentral:rRNA from 1 species